rnacentral:rRNA from 1 species
GACGAACGCUGGCGGCGUGCUUAACACAUGCAAGUCGAACGGUGAACCUGCUUCGGUGGGGGAUCAGUGGCGAACGGGUGAGUAACACGUGGGCAACCUGCCCUCAGCUCUGGGAUAACUCCAAGAAAUUGGGGCUAAUACUGGUUAUGACCGCUGACCGCAUGGUCUGGUGGUGGAAAGAUUUAUCGGCUGGGGAUGGGCCCGCGGCCUAUCAGCUUGUUGGUGGGGUAGUGGCCUACCAAGGCGACGACGGGUAGCCGGCCUGAGAGGGUGACCGGCCACACUGGGACUGAGACACGGCCCAGACUCCUACGGGAGGCAGCAGUGGGGAAUAUUGCGCAAUGGGCGAAAGCCUGGCGCAGCGACGCCGCGUGGGGGAUGACGGCCUUCGGGUUGUAAACCUCUUUCAGCAGGGACGAAGCGAAAGUGACGGUACCUGCAGAAGAAGCACCGGCCAACUACGUG